AGUGAACGCUGGCGGCAGGCCUAACACAUGCAAGUCGAACGGCAGCACAGGAGAGCUUGCUCUCUGGGUGGCGAGUGGCGGACGGGUGAGGAAUACAUCGGAAUCUACUCUGUCGUGGGGGAUAACGUAGGGAAACUUACGCUAAUACCGCAUACGACCUACGGGUGAAAGCAGGGGACCUUCGGGCCUUGCGCGAUUGAAUGAGCCGAUGUCGGAUUAGCUAGUUGGCGGGGUAAAGGCCCACCAAGGCGACGAUCCGUAGCUGGUCUGAGAGAAUGAUCAGCCACACUGGAACUGAGACACGGUCCAGACUCCUACGGGAGGCAGCAGUGGGGAAUUUUGGACAAUGGGCGCAAGCCUGAUCCAGCCAUACCGCGUGGGUGAAGAAGGUCUUCGGGUUGUAAAGCCCUUUUGUUUGGAAAGAAAUCCAGCUGGCUAAUACCCGGUUGGGAUGACGGUACCCAAAGAAUAAGCACCGGCUAACUUCGUGCCAGCAGCCGCCGUAA
rnacentral:rRNA from 1 species